rnacentral:rRNA from 1 species
GACGAACGCUGGCGGCGCGCCUAACACAUGCAAGUCGAACGAGCGAGAGAGAGCUUGCUUUCUCGAGCGAGUGGCGAACGGGUGAGUAACGCGUGAGGAACCUGCCUCAAAGAGGGGGACAACAGUUGGAAACGACUGCUAAUACCGCAUAAGCCCACGGCUCGGCAUCGAGCAGGGGGAAAAGGAGCAAUCCGCGUUGAGAUGGCCUCGCGUCCGAUUAGCUAGUUGGUGGGGUAACGGCCCACCAAGGCGACGAUCGGUAGCCGGACUGAGAGGUUGAACGGUCACAUUGGGACUGAGACACGGCCCAGACGCCUACGGGAGGCAGCAGUGGGGAAUAUUGCACAAUGGGGGAAACCCUGAUGCAGCGACGGCGCGUGGAGGAAGAAGGUCUUCGGAUUGUAUACUCCUGUUGUUGGAGAAGAGAAUGACGGUACCCAACAAGGAAGUGACGGCUAACUACGUG